rnacentral:rRNA from 1 species
GACGCCGCGUGGGGGAUGACGGCCUUCGGGUUGUAAACCCCUUUCAGUAGGGAAGAAGCGAGAGUGACGGUACCUGCAGAAGAAGCGCCGGCUAACUACGUGCCAGCAGCCGCGGUAAUACGUAGGGCGCAAGCGUUGUCCGGAAUUAUUGGGCGUAAAGAGCUUGUAGGUGGCUUGUCGCGUCUGCCGUGAAAACCCGAGGCUCAACCUCGGGCGUGCGGUGGGUACGGGCAGGCUAGAGUGUGGUAGGGGAGACUGGAACUCCUGGUGUAGCGGUGAAAUGCGCAGAUAUCAGGAAGAACACCGAUGGCGAAGGCAGGUCUCUGGGCCAUUACUGACACUGAGAAGCGAAAGCAUGGGUAGCGAACAGGAUUAGAUACCCUGGUAGUCCAUGCCGUAAACGUUGGGCACUAGGGGUGGGGGACAUUCCACGUUUUCCGCGCCGUAGCUAACGCAUUAAGUGCCCCGCCUGGGGAGUACGGCCGCAAGGCUAAAACUCAAAGGAAUUGACGGGGGCCCGCACAAGCGGCGGAGCAUGCUGAUUAAUUCGAUGCAACGCGAAGAACCUUACCAAGGCUUGACAUGCACUGGACGGCUGCAGAGAUGUGGCUUUCUUUGGACUGGUGCACAGGUGGUGCAUGGUUGUCGUCAGCUCGUGUCGUGAGAUGUUGGGUUAAGUCCCGCAACGAGCGCAACCCUCGUUCUAUGUUGCCAGCACGUGAUGGUGGGGACUCAUAGGAGACUGCCGGGGUCAACUCGGAGGAAGGUGGGGACGACGUCAAAUCAUCAUGCCCCUUAUG